rnacentral:rRNA from 1 species
UGCAGUCGAGCGGACAGAUGGGAGCUUGCUCCCUGAUGUUAGCGGCGGACGGGUGAGUAACACGUGGGUAACCUGCCUGUAAGACUGGGAUAACUCCGGGAAACCGGGGCUAAUACCGGAUGCUUGUUUGAACCGCAUGGUUCAAACAUAAAAGGUGGCUUCGGCUACCACUUACAGAUGGACCCGCGGCGCAUUAGCUAGUUGGUGAGGUAAUGGCUCACCAAGGCAACGAUGCGUAGCCGACCUGAGAGGGUGAUCGGCCACACUGGGACUGAGACACGGCCCAGACUCCUACGGGAGGCAGCAGUAGGGAAUCUUCCGCAAUGGACGAAAGUCUGACGGAGCAACGCCGCGUGAGUGAUGAAGGUUUUCGGAUCGUAAAGCUCUGUUGUUAGGGAAGAACAAGUACCGUUCGAAUAGGGCGGUACCUUGACGGUACCUAACCAGAAAGCCACGGCUAACUACGUGCCAGCAGCCGCGGUAAUACGUAGGUGGCAAGCGUUGUCCGGAAUUAUUGGGCGUAAAGGGCUCGCAGGCGGUUCCUUAAGUCUGAUGUGAAAGCCCCCGGCUCAACCGGGGAGGGUCAUUGGAAACUGGGGAACUUGAGUGCAGAAGAGGAGAGUGGAAUUCCACGUGUAGCGGUGAAAUGCGUAGAGAUGUGGAGGAACACCAGUGGCGAAGGCGACUCUCUGGUCUGUAACUGACGCUGAGGAGCGAAAGCGUGGGGAGCGAACAGGAUUAGAUACCCUGGUAGUCCACGCCGUAAACGAUGAGUGCUAAGUGUUA